CCUACGGGAGACAGCAGUGAGGAAUAUUGGUCAAUCGGCGCUAGCUUGAACCAGCCAAGCAGCGUGAAGGAUGACUGCCCUAUGGGUUGUAAACUUCUUUUAUAUGGGAAUAAAGUGCAGUAUGUAUACUGUUUCGCACGUACCUUAUGAAUAAGGAUCGGCGAACUCCGUGCAAGCAGCCGCGGUAAUACGGUGGAUUCGAGGGUUAUCCGGUUUUAUUGGGUUUAAAGGGAGCGUAGGCGGGUUGUUAAGUCAGUUGUGAAAGUUUGCGGCUCAACCGUAAAAUUGCAGUUGAUACUGGCAUCCUUGAGUACAGUAGAGGUAAGCGGAAUUCGUGGUGUAGCGGUGAAAUGCUUAGAUAUCACGAAGAACACCGAUUGCGAAGGCAGCCUGCUGGACUGUAACUGACGCUGAUGCUCGAAAGUGUGGGUAGCAAACAGGAUUAGAUACCCUAGUAGUC
rnacentral:rRNA from 1 species